rnacentral:rRNA from 1 species
CUGACCUCAGAUCAGGCAAGACUACCCGCUGAACUUAAGCAUAUCAAUAAGCGGAGGAAAAGAAACCAACAGGUAUUCCCUCAGUAACGGCGAGUGAAGUGGGAAGAGCUCAAGCCGUCAAUCUCCGACCGUCGGUCGGCGAAUUGUAGUCUGGAGAAGCGCUAUCCGUGCGACGCUCGGCGGUGUAAGUUGCUUGGAACGGCAUAUCGCAGAGGGUGAGAAUCCCGUCUUGGACCGUGGAGCGCGCACCACGAGGCGCUUUCGAAGAGUCGGGUUGUUUGGGAAUGCAGCCCAAAGCGGGUGGUAAACUCCACCUAAGGCUAAAUAGGGGCACGAGACCGAUA